AGGAAUGUAUGUGGAUUUCAAGAUUGAAGGAGUGAUAUAUAACACAAACACCAAAAAGACGUUUACCAAAUAGAUACAAUACCUUGUAAUUAAUUUUAUUUUUUUAUGAAUGGAAUUUUUACUAAUACUAGUGAUUUUUUCAUAUAUAUUGGUAUAAUUAUUUAUUAAUUCAAUGAUAAAUAUUGAUAGAUAGUUGAUAAUAUUAUGGUGUAAGGCA
rnacentral:lncRNA from 1 species